rnacentral:rRNA from 1 species
UACGUAGGGUCCGAGCGUUGUCCGGAAUUACUGGGCGUAAAGAGCUCGUAGGUGGUUUGUCGCGUUGUUCGUGAAAACUCACAGCUUAACUGUGGGCGUGCGGGCGAUACGGGCAGACUUGAGUACUGCAGGGGAGACUGGAAUUCCUGGUGUAGCGGUGGAAUGCGCAGAUAUCAGGAGGAACACCGGUGGCGAAGGCGGGUCUCUGGGCAGUAACUGCGCUGAGGAGCGAAAGCGUGGGGAGCGAACAGG